rnacentral:rRNA from 1 species
UACAGAGGUGGCAAGCGUUGUUCGGAAUUACUGGGCGUAAAGGGCGCGUAGGCGGUCUUGCAAGUCCUGUGUGAAAUCCCUCGGCUCAACUGAGGAACUGCACAGGAAACUGCUUGGCUUGAGUUCGGGAGAGGGAAGCGGAAUUCCGGGUGUAGCGGUGAAAUGCGUAGAUAUCCGGAGGAACACCGGUGGCGAAGGCGGCUUCCUGGACCGACACUGACGCUGAGGCGCGAAGGCGUGGGGAGCGAACGGG